AAUCUUGUGCUCUUUCCUCCAGCGGCUGUUUGUUCUCCAUUCUCUUCCCGCUCUUCAUCAUCAGCGCUAAUGAAGCAAAGACCCCAGUCAAACUCUACCACUUCCAGCUCCGCCUCUUUUCCCUGGUCGUCCUCAUCAGUAACAAACUGUUCCACAAGACGGUGCACCUGCAGAGCUCCAUCACGACCUCCACGUCCACAGAGAAGCUGCCCUCGCCUCACAUGUCCCCGACGCGCCAGCGACCUAUGCCCCCCCAGUGACUUCUUUCAGGAUUCCCAAUUCGGUUCGGUAUGAAAGAGUCAGGUGGAUGGAAAAAAUUAGCGUGGUCUGUCGAUGUUCUUCUGAGGGAUGAAUGGGACGGGUUAGUAAUGUGUUUGGGACUGGAUCGCCCUGUGCUGAUACACAAGGUCGUGAUUCUCUGUGUGAUUGUUUUUUUUUGGGGGGACUAUUUUUGUACCCAUUAUGUGCCAUUUGGGUCAUUUGUAGAGACGGCACAAAGACCUCAGCGUGCACAUUUUCUGUGAAUUGGCUUCCCUCUUCUUUUAGGCCCUGUAGUCGUUUUAUCUAUUUAUGGCCUUCUUUUAAAUUUUUUGUAAUGGCUUUUUCUGCCUUGUGAGGGCCGGACACAUGACAGUUUAUCUCUCCGUUAACACUAAGCUUAAUGACUUACGGAAUGGAUGAGUAGAAAAAGGCCCUAGCGUCCCCCAGUGGUUUGUUUUUCUGCACUGGAAUCUGGACUAGACUGAAAAACAAUCAAAUUGAAAGGCCUCUUUAUGCAAGGGAUGUUUCUUGACCUAAAAUGUUGUGAGUUGUCUGCUAGACAUUUUAAAAUCAUUACUUUAUUGACUACACAUUUUCUUAAUGGAAUUGUUUGGCUGAAAAUCAUUUAUUCACCCUCAUGGUUUCCUUCAUAUGUGGAACACAAAAGUAGGUAUUUUGCAGAAUGUUAAUGCUGCUCAAGUCCCUAUAUCCUUAUAUUUGAUGAAAAACAGCAGUGUGGACAUUCUUUGAAAUUUCUCCUUUUGUGUUCCAUCGAAGAAAAUCAUGUUAGGAACCACAUGAUGACAGGAUGUUUUUCCCUGAGCUGUAAGUAACAAUGUGAAACUCAAAAGGGAGCUGCUUUUAUUUGGUUUCUUUUAUAAUGCGUUUUUAUUUUGGGAAUACCGUGUCAACAUGAUCCGGUGUCAUCUGUAAAGGUUUGGGGAUGAUUUCCAACAGUAUGCACAAGCUUUAUUAAUCAGCUGCUGUCAGGUGACACUGCCAAACUGUGUGACACUUGUGAAACUGUUCUUUAAGUGAUCACGGAUCCAGUUUCCAAUGAAUGCUGGCAUGUCAAGUGGAUGUCCACUGUGGUGUAUGUUCCUGGAGUUUAGUACCUGGAACCUGUUUAGAAACAUUUGAAACUGAAGCACAUAUUAUGUCAUUGUAUCCGCGGGGGGUGGGGGGGGGUUGUAUUUUAAAAAGGGUUGUAAUUAUCGCCAGGAGUCAAUAGUGUUACACCUACAGAUGGAAAUUUGUGAGUGACAUUUUGUAAAAGUAUUACAUUAUUUCAAUAAAUUUGGUCUGUGUACAGUA